rnacentral:misc_RNA from 1 species
AUUUAACCUUUAAUGUCUAUCUCAAGAUUGCUGUUGGUAUUAGCAUUGUGUAAAUUUUACUGCUUGUGUGCACGUGAUCUAAAUUGGAAUGAGAAAUCUCAUAGCCAAUUUAGCUGAUUCCAUGUUUCAAAUGGAGCUGUAAUAUGUACUACCAGUGCUGGUGUAUGUUGGUGUAUACUGACCAGCAUCCGUUUCCAUUUUUUCAACCAUUUAUUAAUUUUGUGUAUAUUUUCAUUUAGCCUCUUAAA